CUGUGUGUUGCGCAACACUCACCCUUUCAAGGUUGGAUGCGUGCUUUCUAUGCUAGGGUGUUUCAAUUGUUUGCUGUUGUUACAAACGAGACGAUCAACUGGUCAUCACUAAAAUUGAUUACACGGUGUUCAUUAAUUAACACAGGUAACAUAUUUUAUUCGCUAUAAACUCGGAGUGAUGUUAUUGACGUAGCAGCCACGAUUGUUUGUAAAACAACGAAGUCGGUAUCAUCAUACGUCUGACGUCACUGGGAAAUUACGAGUGACGUUGAACUUCGCGCGUGUUAGCGAGUGAAUUGAUGACCUAUUAAUUAAACAAAGGUUUCUAAUCGAUCGAAAUGGGACGUAAAUCUUACAAGAUAGGAUUUUAAGUGGAUUUUUAACAGAACCAAUAAAAGCAAGUGAUAAGAUGCUGGAACAUGUAGAUAUCUGUCAGGAAGUUCUAAAUGCAGAGAAGUGUAACCAAUAUCCAGUAAUACUCAAGAAAUGUACAGACGUUCACAUUGGUACGAAAAUAGAAAUCCAUUCUCAACAACCACAAACAAGUUACUUAAAGAAAGAAGAUGAAGAAGAAAAU